rnacentral:tRNA from 1 species
GCCGGUGUGGCUCAGUUGGUUGAGUGUCAGCCUGUGCACCUAAAGGUCACCGGUUCAAUUCCGGUCAGGGCA